rnacentral:rRNA from 1 species
UACGUAGGUGGCAAGCGUUGUCCGGAUUUACUGGGUGUAAAGGGCGUGCAGCCGGAGAGACAAGUCAGAUGUGAAAUCCACGGGCUCAACCCGUGAACUGCAUUUGAAACUGUUUCCCUUGAGUGUCUGAGAGGUAAUCGGAAUUCCUUGUGUAGCGGUGAAAUGCGUAGAUAUAAGGAAGAACACCAGUGGCGAAGGCGGAUUACUGGACGAUAACUGACGGUGAGGCGCGAAAGCGUGGGGAGCAAACAGG